rnacentral:misc_RNA from 1 species
AAAAAAAAAAAAAAAAAAACCCAUGAUGAAAUCUUUUAGUCUCUCUCACAUCAAAUUCUCUCUCCACAGUCUUACUGAUCAGCUUGAAAGCCUCAUGACGUCCUCGCACAUUCUCAAGUUCUUCAUCAAUUUCUUAGUGUGCAGACCUACAAUUUCCUCCUUGUUCUCUUGUUCCACAUCAGCAAACGCAAUUCCCAUGCUUACCCCUGCGCAACGCAACUCCUUUCCUUCGUUCUUCUCUCCAACUCUUUCAGCAAGCAAAUAACAUCUUGUCCCACAAGGGAGCCGCUUCAUCGGUGUUACAUUCGUUACUUUCCCAGAAACCAGCUUCCCCAAGCUUGCACAAGCAUUGAUCACACUAGCCAACAUAAAAUGGUUAGGACUUUCUUUCUUGAAGUGCCUCAUGCCCUCUUGCAUUCUGUGCAUGUGCUACGAUCAUUGAAGUCCAAGAAACAACUAAAGAUGAAAGAACGGUCUGGCUCCAUCAUCAUCAUUGCAUUUCCCACAUGUAUCAACCCAAUAACAUAUUUAAUUUGAUGAGAUGAUUGGCGGUGAAAGAAUCAUGCAAAAGCUCCGAAUUCAAUAUAUAGCAGUGAGUCGAGGUUGCAGAAGUGAAAUGGUUGGAAUUUCGAAGCUUCUCAAUGAAAUGGGAUUUGGUAUAUGAUAAUUUGACCGUUUAUUUUCCCGGAAAGGAUGUACCGUCGUUAAAGGGAGAAAAGGUCAUUUCUGCUCAACAACUGCUUCAUUUGUCGAAGAACCUGU